GAAUGUCCCAGGAGCUCCACUUAGUUGCUAACCCCACUUCUAUUUUCCUAUUAGAUUCUCAGAAUGAACACAGACUUCCUUAAAGCAACAUGUCCAGGCUGACUUCAGUCCUUCAUGUAGAAGACUCUCCCUGGUCUGAGAAGAGCAACUGUAUUUGAAUUUGCAAUAAAAGAGCUUCCUAUGUAGUUUCAACGAAAAUGAACUACUGGAUUAUCCUGGAGCCAAGGCAAUUACAGGAAAGUAGGUACUGGUGACAGACAGAGAGUCUACUGGGACCCAAUCAGUAUUCUGAGUUGGUGGUGAUCAGAAAACCUGAAAGAGCAUUGGAAGGAAGAAGAAGGCCAAGUUGAACUCAUCAACUCACUUCACUCACCAAUUAAACGGCAAACAAGCAAGAGAAAGGAAACGGACUUGGAUGGCUUUGAUGAUUGUCCUGGAACAGGCUCCACUUGGCUGCCUUGUCACAGCGGGGACAACGGUGGAACCCAGAUCACAGUGCCGAGAGCUGGGCCCUGGAAGCAGUCCUUCACAAGCUCCUCCUGCUCUAAUCCACGAACUUAAUAAGCAUCUGUCUCCCCAGUGGUGCCUCCCUGUCUAACAGAACUACUUGUAUCCUGUAAAUGUGCAGUCUGUUUGGCUUCUAGAAAACAAAGCAGUUAGGCUUGCCUGAUCUCAUCAGUUUAAUGUUAGAAUGCCUGGACUGCUCAAUAACUCGUGUACCUUGAAGGGACACAAAGGGGGUGGGGUGGGGCAUGGCACAGCAAAAGCUGUUAUUA
rnacentral:lncRNA from 1 species